GAUGAACGCUGGCGGCGUGCCUAAUACAUGCAAGUCGAGCGAACAGACGAGUAGCUUGCUCCUCUGACGUUAGCGGCGGACGGGUGAGUAACACGUGGAUAACCUACCUAUAAGACUGGGAUAACUUCGGGAAACCGGAGCUAAUACCGGAUAAUAUAUUGAACCGCAUGGUUCAAUAGUGAAAGACGGUUUUGCUGUCACUUAUAGAUGGAUCCGCGCCGCAUUAGCUAGUUGGUAAGGUAACGGCUUACCAAGGCAACGAUGCGUAGCCGACCUGAGAGGGUGAUCGGCCACACUGGAACUGGGACACGGUCCAGACUCCUACGGGAGGCAGCAGUAGGGAAUCUUCCGCAAUGGGCGAAAGCUUGACGGAGCAACGCCGCGUGAGUGAUGAAGGUCUUCGGAUCGUAAAACUCUGUUAUUAGGGAAGAACAAAUGUGUAAGUAACUAUGCACGUCUUGACGGUACCUAAUCAGAAAGCCACGGCUAACUACGUG
rnacentral:rRNA from 1 species